rnacentral:tRNA from 1 species
GCGGUCGUGCUGAAAUUGGUAGACAGGCACGCUUGAGGGGCGUGUGGGUUUCCCGUGAGAGUUCGAUUCUCUCCGACCGCACCA